rnacentral:rRNA from 1 species
UACGUAGGGGGCGAGCGUUGUCCGGAAUUAUUGGGCGUAAAGAGCGUGUAGGCGGUUCGGUAAGUCUGUCGUGAAAUCCUGAGGCUCAACCUCGGGCGUGCGAUGGAUACUGCCGGGCUAGAGGGUGGUAGAGGCGAGUGGAAUUCCCGGUGUAGCGGUGAAAUGCGUUGAUAUCAGAAGGAACCCCGGUGGCGAAAGCGACCCGCUGGAUCUCUACUGACGCUGAGGCGCGAAAGCCAGGGGAGCAAACGGG